rnacentral:rRNA from 1 species
UUUUAUGGAGAGUUUGAUCCUGGCUCAGGAUGAACGCUGGCGGCGUGCCUAAUACAUGCAAGUCGAGCGAACGGACGAGAAGCUUGCUUCUCUGAUGUUAGCGGCGGACGGGUGAGUAACACGUGGAUAACCUACCUAUAAGACUGGGAUAACUUCGGGAAACCGGAGCUAAUACCGGAUAAUAUUUUGAACCGCAUGGUUCAAAAGUGAAAGACGGUCUUGCUGUCACUUAUAGAUGGAUCCGCGCUGCAUUAGCUAGUUGGUAAGGUAACGGCUUACCAAGGCAACGAUGCAUAGCCGACCUGAGAGGGUGAUCGGCCACACUGGAACUGAGACACGGUCCAGACUCCUACGGGAGGCAGCAGUAGGGAAUCUUCCGCAAUGGGCGAAAGCCUGACGGAGCAACGCCGCGUGAGUGAUGAAGGUCUUCGGAUC